rnacentral:ncRNA from 1 species
AUAAAAUGCAGAUAGGAAUAUCUGUAUACUCAUGUUACCGAAUUAACGUUUAAGCGAUAUGUGCUAUCGCCGGACAUGAGGCCGCCUUUAAGGCGGUUUUUUUUGUA